rnacentral:lncRNA from 1 species
GAUAACUUUUGGAACUUAAGGCGAGCUAACAAACUGUCAAUUAACUGAUUGAUAAAUAAAAAAUAGGAAAUUAAGGGGAAGUAAACAAGUUUUAGUUUGUCCAAAUUGGGAUAAAUUUAUCAGUGGGGUUUAGGUGCGAUCUUCAUUGGAAUAGCCAUAUUUUUGUACUGUUAAUUAAUUAAGAAUAUAUCUUGGUUAGCCAAAAAGAAUGUUGUGAGUUCUGGUUCUAAUGCCACGAACAAUUUGGUAAAAAACAAAUGGUGUCUUCGCAAUUGGUUGGAAUAGAUGUUACUGACAACAGAGAGAUGUCUUCCUCCGUGCCAUUGGUCAAGGACAAAACUUAACCGAAUGUCGAUGUUAACAGCCUCUUAAGAAGGACGAACCAAAUAGCUAGAUGCGUCAAAUACUACGUAAUGGAGAUGAUGAUGACGACACUUGUACAAAGAUGUGCGCCCUUUCCAGCAGUUGAUGAACCUUUAUACUAUUGAUGGUGACGAAAAUAAAACAUGAACUAUGUAUACCGAAAUAUUGAACUUAUGAUUCGAAUGAACUAUGUGUAAAUAUAUCCAGAUAUUGGACUAGAAGAAUGUGAUGAACUUAUUAUAUCAUGAUAUUGGACUUAUAGAACUUUAUAAACUUAGAUAUGUGGUGAUGGUUACCGAAAACCUUACAAUAAACUAUUAGAAUAACCUACAGGAAGAAAAAUACCGUAUUUUAUUGAACUUUCGUUCUCUAAGAAUUGGAGGCAUUAUGUUACACAAUUGUGUACCAUUCAUUAAUUAUCAAGGAGUAUUAAUUAGGAAAUUUAUUAAAAAGGAAUUAA